rnacentral:rRNA from 1 species
UUCGCAAUGCCCGAAAGGGUGACGUAGCGACGCCGCGUGUGGGAAGAAGGCCUUCGGGUUGUAAACCACUGUCGGGAGUUAAGAAAUGCAAGGAUAUUAAUAGUGUCUUUGUUUGACUAAGGCUCCGGAGGAAGCCACGGCUAACUCUGUGCCAGCAGCCGCGGUAAUACAGAGGCGGCAAGCGUUGUUCGGAAUUAUUGGGCGUAAAGAGCUCGUAGGCGGCUAUGUAAGUCGGUUGUGAAAGCCUUCCGCUCAACGGAGGAACAGCAUCCCAUACUACAUGGCUUGAGUGCGGGAGGGGAGAGUGGAACUUCUGGUGGCGCGGUGAAAUGCGUAGAUAUCAGAAGGAACGCCGGCGGCGAAAGCGGCUCUCUGGCCCAUAACUGACGCUGAGUGUGCGAAAGCUAGGGGAGCAAACGGGAUUAGAUACCCCGGUAGUCCUAGCCGUAAACGAUGGGCACUAAGUAGAGGGGUUUU